UACGUAGGUGACCAGCGUUGUUCGGAAUUACUGGGCGUAAAGCGCACGUAGGCGGCUUUGUAAGUUAGAGGUGAAAGCCCGGAGCUCAACUCCGGAACUGCCUUUAAGACUGCAUCGCUUGAAUCCAGGAGAGGUGAGUGGAAUUCCGAGUGUAGAGGUGAAAUUCGUAGAUAUUCGGAAGAACACCAGUGGCGAAGGCGGCUCACUGGACUGGUAUUGACGCUGAGGUGCGAAAGCGUGGGGAGCAAACAGG
rnacentral:rRNA from 1 species